AAAAAAUAGAAGACACAAAAUGAGUCCUCAUAUAAACCUGUAUCAUGUGCCACACACAACGCCAUGCAUCUCUGGAAAAUACAGGAGCCAUGAUCUCAACAAAUCUGAGAAAAUUUCAAGUGUCAAAGCUAUGUUAGAUACAUUUGAUAUGAUCCCUUUAGAAGCUCACAAGACAGAAAGAAAGAAAGAUCAUGGAAUUGGCUUAGAACAAAUAUGACGAGGUUUGAUGUGCCUUUGUAUGUACGGUGUAUGGAACCUCUUCAAUGCUUGAAGAUCGUAACAUGUGCUGGUAUGAUAUAAGAGCUGUUGUGAUGUAGCAGAAAUGACAGUGGUUGUGGAAAACUUGUGCAGGAGAGCUUACACCAGGUUAUAGCAGCAACUGGACACAGUUACAUGCAGGUUGUUGUGGCCUCGGGUAUGAUUUUAUCUAGUUGGAAUACAGAAGGAAAUUAAUAGGGUGCUUAUGUUGUAAUUCUGUUAUAGCUGUACUGUGUAAUUGAAUUUAUGUACUGUUCUCUGGGUUGGAGUUUUUGACAUCUCUUGUGACAAAAUUCCAACCAGUUUUUUAUAAUACAUAUAUAAUACACAAAACUAAAACAUAUAAGAACAUAAUUCACUUA